GGGGAAUAUUGCACAAUGGAGGAAACUCUGAUGCAGCGACGUCGCGUGAGUGAUGAAGGUCUUCGGAUCGUAAAACUCUGUCCUAAGGGACGAUAAUGACGGUACCUUAGGAGGAAGCCCCGGCUAACUACGUGCCAGCAGCCGCGGUAAUACGUAGGGGGCGAGCGUUGUCCGGAUUUAUUGGGCGUAAAGGGUGCGUAGGCGGCCUUGUAAGUCAGAUGUGAAAGAUCAUGGCUUAACUGUGGUAAGCAUUUGAAACUGCAGGGCUUGAGUACAGGAGAGGAGAGUGGAAUUCCUAGUGUAGCGGUGAAAUGCGUAGAUAUUAGGAGGAAUACCAGUGGCGAAGGCGACUCUCUGGACUGAUACUGACGCUGAGGCACGAAAGCGUGGGGAGCAAACA
rnacentral:rRNA from 2 species